rnacentral:rRNA from 1 species
AGAUUGAACUGAAGAGUUUGAUCCUGGCUCAGAUUGAACGCUGGCGGCAUGCCUUACACAUGCAAGUCGAACGGCAGCACGGGCUUCGGCC